rnacentral:rRNA from 1 species
GACGAACGCUGGCGGCGUGCUUAACACAUGCAAGUCGAACGGAAAGGCCCUGCUUUUGUGGGGUGCUCGAGUGGCGAACGGGUGAGUAACACGUGAGUAACCUGCCCUUGACUUUGGGAUAACUUCAGGAAACUGGGGCUAAUACCGGAUAGGAGCUCCUGCUGCAUGGGGGGGGUUGGAAAGAUUCGGCGGUUGGGGAUGGACUCGCGGCUUAUCAGCUUGUUGGUGAGGUAGUGACUUACCAAGGCUUUGACGGGUAGCCGGCCUGAGAGGGUGACCGGCCACAUUGGGACUGAGAUACGGCCCAGACUCCUACGGGAGGCAGCAGUGGGGAAUAUUGCACAAUGGGCGGAAGCCUGAUGCAGCAACGCCGCGUGCGGGAUGACGGCCUUCGGGUUGUAAACCGCUUUCGCCUGUGACGAAGCGUGAGUGACGGUAAUGGGUAAAGAAGCACCGGCUAACUACGUG